UUUACCCUCUCGGUAACCUUGAACUCGUCCAAUGAGUAUGGAAUAAGUAAAGGCUCUCGAAACAACCCCAAGUAGUUGACCAUGGACGGAAGGAUGUAGUUUUUAUAGUACCUAUCAUUCAACACAAUAAGGCAGCCCGGUAUCCCACAAAUGGUCACCUUUUCAAAGUGUAUACUCCUUCUCGGAUCAACAUUAUAAUGCACACAAGUACCCCUC
rnacentral:lncRNA from 1 species